UACCAGGGUUCAAAGAGACACGGGCUCUUCCAAGAACUGAAGAUGGACUUGUGAGAUAAGGAGAUGAGGCCAAGCCCACGUGCUAGAAGCAGAAAUGCAAACUGCACACGGGGCGGCGAAGGGGGGACUGGAGGGGCCGCCUUGGACACAGGAAACACCAAGAGCAGCGCCAGCUGCAACAGGACCAGGGCCAAAACCAGGACCGGGACCAGGACCAGCAGGCCCAGCACGACCAGCAACACCAGCACAGGGGCCUGCAUGAGGACCAAGCGCAAACCGGUAGCACGGUUCACCAUCUAACCGGAAAACUGAAAUAAAACCACGAAGAGUCACUCUCUGAUCUGAUCAAGUGAGAUACAGAAAUGAGAUGCCUACUGUGUAAGGCAAACGUGCUUCCUGACCUCAGAGAGACUGCUUUCCAGCGGGGGAGAAAGACAAGAGAUCAAAGAACCCGCUUUCUCCUCCCCGUGUGCUGGCAAGACGCGGAUCGGCUGCUUUGGAAUCCCCACGCCUUCCGGCACACGCUCCCCCCCUGCACACACCGGAUUCAUCACUCAGAGGAUGGGGGCGAUGAGGCGGGCUUCGGGGGUAUGAAUCGCAAUGCUGCACUCAGUCACUGGCCGUGGGCACACCCCUUAAGUUCUUUAGAAGUUUCCUUGUCGGGGCACCUGGGUGGCUCAGUAGGUUACACAUCCGACUUCAGCUCAGGUCAUGAUCUCACGGUUGGUGGGUU